UUUUUUUUCUUUUCUUUUUAGUGAU
rnacentral:piRNA from 1 species